rnacentral:rRNA from 1 species
UACAGAGGUCUCAAGCGUUGUCCGGAAUUAUUGGGCGUAAAGAGCUCGUAGGCGGUGUGUCACGUCGUUCGUGAAAACCUGCAGCUUAACUGUGGGCGUGCGGUCGAUACGGGCAUCACUGGAGUUCGGCAGGGGAGACUGGAAUUCCUGGUGUAGCGGUGAAAUGCGUAGAGAUGCGGCGGAACACCGAUGGCGAAGGCAGCCCCCUGGGCUGAGAUUGACGCUCAGGCACGAAAGCGUGGGGAGCAAACAGG